UUGAGUCUCGUAGAGGGGGGUAGAAUUCCAGGUGUAGCGGUGAAAUGCGUAGAGAUCUGGAGGAAUACCGGUGGCGAAGGCGGCCCCCUGGACGAAGACUGACGCUCAGGUGCGAAAGCGUGGGGAGCAAACAGGAUUAGAUACCCUGGUAGUCCACGCCGUAAACGAUGUCGACUUGGAGGUUGUGCCCUUGAGGCGUGGCUUCCGGAGCUAACGCGUUAAGUCGACCGCCUGGGGAGUACGGCCGCAAGGUUAAAACUCAAAUGAAUUGACGGGGGCCCGCACAAGCGGUGGAGCAUGUGGUUUAAUUCGAUGCAACGCGAAGAACCUUACCUGGUCUUGACAUCCACGGAAGUUUUCAGAGAUGAGAAUGUGCCUUCGGGAACCGUGAGACAGGUGCUGCAUGGCUGUCGUCAGCUCGUGUUGUGAAAUGUUGGGUUAAGUCCCGCAACGAGCGCAACCCUUAUCCUUUGUUGCCAGCGGUCCGGCCGGGAACUCAAAGGAGACUGCCAGUGAUAAACUGGAGGAAGGUGGGGAUGACGUCAAGUCAUCAUGGCCCUUACGACCAGGGCUACACACGUGCUACAAUGGCGCAUACAAAGAGAAGCGAUCUCGCGAGAGCAAGCGGACCUCAUAAAGUGCGUCGUAGUCCGGAUUGGAGUCUGCAACUCGACUCCAUGAAGUCGGAAUCGCUAGUAAUCGUGGAUCAGAAUGCCACGGUGAAUACGUUCCCGGGCCUUGUACACACCGCCCGUCACACCAUGGGAGUGGGUUGCAAAAGAAGUAGGUAGCUUAACCUUCGGGAGGGCGCUUACCACUUUGUGAUUCAUGACUGGGGUGAAGUCGUAACAAGGUAACCGUAGGGGAACCUGCGGUUGGAUCACCUCCUUACCUUAAAGAAGC
rnacentral:rRNA from 1 species